rnacentral:lncRNA from 1 species
CCCCUUCAUCACCACCAGAUCAUGCCCAAAUGUAUGGUGAUGUGCCGGCUCCACACUCCCAGCCUUGAAGCUCACUAUAGCUGAGGUAGGGCUCUCUCUUACUAUCUUCAUCGAACCUCCUGGGAUGAUAUCAAUCGGAUCUAACUUCCGGUUCUUCACUAAGCAACAUAGAGAACAUGGGGUUAAGGUUUCUUCCUUACUUUCAUUGGCUGUUUCUUUUCCGAUUUUCGGCAUUUCCUCAAGGGAAUUGUCAAAGAAUGAAGAUAUUUCUUCGCUCCAGGGACCGAAAUUAGAAGCAGGACAUGGAGCUUUGAAAGGGGUAUUGAGCCAAGCAUCGAGGAUUUCUAUGGCAGAUUCCGGAGAUGUGGACAUGCCAGAGACAGCUAGCACAUUACAGUUGUUAAUGGAGCGGGUAUUGAUAGCUUCAGCUGUUGAAAGACAAGUGGAGGCGAAGACGCCGGGGAAUUUGUUGGCAAAGAUGGAGACACCGACGCCAGUUCCACAGGCGACAAGGCCUCGGAUUUGAGGGGAAGGAGAAGAUGGAGAUGCGGAGUUGGCAGCAGAGACACGACGUCCAACCUCGGCGGCGAUUGAGUAGUAGGAGGAAUUACCGAGAUCUUCAACAUCUAUGUUGAGAGAGCGGAGGUGCGAGACUAGAGCGUCUUUGAGGUUGCAGCCAAAGGAAUCCGCUCCGGUUAUGAUUUUGAGAGGACGGGGAGUAGAGGCGGCGGCGGCGAAUUCGGCCAU